CCUACGGGAGGCAGCAGUGGGGAAUAUUGGGCAAUGGAGGAAACUCUGACCCAGCAACGCCGCGUGCAUGAUGAAGGUCCUCGGAUUGUUAAGUUCUUUUCUAAGGGGAGUAGAAAGUGACGGUACCUUAGGAAUAAGCCUCGGCUAACUACGUGCCAGCAGCCGCGGUAAUACGUAGGAGGCAAGCGUUAUCCGGAUUGAAUGGGCGUAAAGGGUGCGUAGGUGGUUUGAUAAGUUGGUAGCGUAACUCCGAGGCUCAACCUCGGCACUACUACCAAAACUGUCGGACUUGAGUGCAGGAGGGGCAACUGGAAUGCAUAGUGUAGCGGUGGAAUGCGUAGAUAUUA
rnacentral:rRNA from 1 species